rnacentral:rRNA from 1 species
ACUCCUACGGGAGGCAGCAGUGGGAAUAUUGCACAAUGGGGAAAGCCAUCGAUGCAGCCAUGCCGCGUGUGUGAAGAAGGCCUUCGGGUUGUAAAGCACUUUCAGCGAGGAGGAAAGGUUGGCAGCUAAUACCUGUCAGCUGUGACGUUACUCGCAGAAGAAGCACCGGCUAACUCCGUGCCAGCAGCCGCGGUAAUACGGAGGGUGCAAGCGUUAAUCGGAAUUACUGGGCGUAAAGCGCGUGUAGGUGGCUUGUUAAGCCAGAUGUG